rnacentral:rRNA from 1 species
CCCUUAGAGUUUGAUCCUGGCUCAGGACGAACGCUGGCGGCGUGCCUAAUACAUGCAAGUCGAACGAAACUUUCUUACACCGAAUGCUUGCAUUCACCGUAAGAAGUUGAGUGGCGGACGGGUGAGUAACACGUGGGUAACCUGCCUAAAAGAAGGGGAUAACACUUGGAAACAGGUGCUAGUACCGUAUAUCUCUAAGGAUCGCAUGAUCCUUAGAUGAAAGAUGGUUCUGCUAUCGCUUUUAGAUGGACCCGCGGCGUAUUAACUAGUUGGUGGGGUAACGGCCUACCAAGGUGAUGAUACGUAGCCGAACUGAGAGGUUGAUCGGCCACAUUGGGAAUGAGACACGGCCCAAACUCCUACGGGAGGCAGCAGUAGGGAAUCUUCCACAAUGGACGCAAGUUUGAUGGAGCAACGCCGCGUGAGUGAAGAAGGUCUUCGGAUCGUA